rnacentral:pre_miRNA from 1 species
GGUUGCUUCAGUGAACAUUCAACGCUGUCGGUGAGUUUGGAAUUAAAAUCAAAACCAUCGACCGUUGAUUGUACCCUAUGGCUAACC